rnacentral:tRNA from 2 species
ACUUGAAUAGUUUAAUUAAAACUUUGAUUUGUGGUGUCAAGAAUGUAAAUUUUUACUUUAAGUC